GUGGGGAAUAUUGGACAAUGGGCGAAAGCCUGAUCCAGCAAUGCCGCGUGAGUGAUGAAGGCCUUCGGGUCGUAAAGCUCUGUUGCAGGGGAAGAACACAAUGACGGUACCCUGCUAGAAAGGAUCGGCUAACUUCGUGCCAGCAGCCGCGGUAAGACGAGGGAUCCUAGCGUUGUUCGGAAUUAUUGGGCGUAAAGCGGGUGCAGGUGGCUUGGUAAGUCAGAUGUGAAAGCCUGGGGCUUAAACCCAGAAGUGCAUUUGAUACUGCUGGGCUUGAGUGCUGGAGAGGCUAUUAGAAUUCCUGGUGUAGUGGUGAAAUACGUAGAUAUCAGGAGGAAUACCGGAGGCGAAGGCGGAUAGCUGGCCAGACACUGACACUCAGACCCGAAAGCGUGGGGAUCAAACAGGAUUAGAUACCCCGGUAGUCC
rnacentral:rRNA from 1 species